rnacentral:rRNA from 1 species
UGGUGGAGUGAUUUGUCUGGUUAAUUCCGAUAACGAACGAGACCUCAGCUUGUUAACUAGUGUCGCCUGACCUCUACAUGGUUGAAGCGUCGGGAGGGCGGCCGGCCGCAAGGUCGGUACCGUCCAUCCCGGCGUGGAUGCUUGAGGCACGGGUGAUCAACCCACUUCUUAAAAGGACUGUUGGCAUUUAGCCAAAGGAGGAGAGCCAAUAACA